rnacentral:rRNA from 1 species
GUGUCAGCAGCCGCGGUAAAACGUAGGGGGCGAGCGUUAUCCGGAAUCACUGGGCGUAAAGGGCGUCUAGGCGGCCGCUUUAGUCGUGCGUGAAAGCUCCCGGCUCAACUGGGAGAGGGCGCACGAUACUGGGCGGCUCGAGACUCAGAGGGGGGUGUGGAAUUCCCGGUGGAGUGGUGAAAUGCGUUGAGAUCGGGAGGAACACCAGUGGCGAAGGCGGCACCCUGGCUGAGGUCUGACGCUGAAGCGCGACAGCGUGGGGAGCAAACGGGAUUAGAAACCCUCGUAGUCC